UUAAGCCCUAAAUUUACGCCCUCCGUUAUUCCUCUUAUUUCCACUUCCAGCCGUCUAUCUCAUCGGUGGCCAAAUCACCGCUAUCUACAGAUGUUGAUAAGACCCUUUACGUGUCUGAGUCUCUCUCUCUCCCUAAUGCGUGAGGUUGAGGGAAGGCGCGUUAUGUGCCAUACUACAUAAAAUAAUUGUAGGUUCUUCCUCGGAUUAAAUUUUCCCUGGAAAAUUAAAUUUCGCAUGACAUGGAUUGCUUAAAAAUUGACUUGGAUUUCGAAUCCCUCAAUUUUCAACUCGGCAAGACCCUCCUCC
rnacentral:misc_RNA from 1 species